UCCUCCAUGCUGACAGCUUGUCUGUAAUGAUUACUUGAUGUAGGACUACAAAGUUUUGCACCAGGGCCAUUCCAGCCCUUAGCUUCCUUCCUAUGUGUUUAUCUGAGGUCUUUGUUUGGACUCUAUUCAUUGUAAUGUAACGUGUUCCUAGCCUACUAUCUUGGAGUCUGUGUCUCUUAAUACCAAAUAAAAAUCUUCCCCAAGAGUUUAUUUCCUUGUGUAAACACUGCUCACCUCACUGUUUUAUAGGUAAUUGAAACAUAGCAGCUCAAGGUGCAUCUCAGACUUCCCAGCAUAGAGAGGACAAUGAACUGGGGGAGGGGCCGACUAACUUUCCCAGGAUUUCCUUCCUGUGUUUGUGUCUAUAAAUGCUUCUCUGUACACACAUCAUAUGUGCUCAAUGCCAGUGGAAGACAGAAGAGGGCAUCAGCGUCCUGGGAAGUGGAAUUACAAAUGACUCUGAGCCCCUCGAUGUGGUUACUGAGAACUCAAUUGGAGAACUGUGCGAGAGGAACAAGCACACAUAGCUACUGAGCCACUUCUCUAGCCCCAUCGGAAACAUUGUUCAUGGCAUAGUUUCCUCCUCAGCCCACAAAGAAUGGUAGAUAUGACUUUGGACAAAAUUGUUCUUUCUACAGCCUAUGAGAACUAUGUUCACAGAUCCCAAACCCAAACUUUCUCUCCAGUUAACCAAUAUUUUAUCAUCCUUACUUCAUCUAUUUUCUGUCUAUGUCUUAAAAAAAAAAGAACCGUUUCUGGUUAUAUUAUAGACAGAUUCUGAGAAGGAAUAUAUUUUAAAGUUGGGUCUGGGGAAUUAACACUGAGAUGAUUUUUCAUAAGCUUUACCAACAUUAUGACUUAGGCAUAAAGUAAUAAUUUUAAAUGCUCUGAAUAGUUUAUGAGGAGAAAAUGAGUUAGGUGCUGAAGGGAAAAGGCUGAAAUUGACAUUCUGUGUUGAAUUUCUCAUAGCUUGUACAUUGUCUAGAAGGACGUACUAUAAAAGUGCAAGGCAUAAUGUAAAAAUCUGAGUUGGGCACUGAUAUGACCAUGUGGGGACAGCCCUGGGGAUAUGGGCAGUACAUGCAAUGUGAGGUAAGUCAAUUUUAUGUCAUUACCUCUAGAGGGCUGGGUCCAGGGUUUGGUUUUCUCUGGCUGUGUUAUUUCCCAAGUUUCAUGAACCAUCACUCCUCUGGAGCAAGCAAUAAGUCAAAUUAUUCUGGCAAUGGGUAUUUCAUAGUUAAUUGUCUCCCUGCUCUAUGAACUCUGUGCUCUUCUAGUCUGAUUUCUACAUCUGUGGCUCUUUCGGCUCCUUCCUGUGAACCAAUGAGUUUAACUGAAGUUCUUUCUAGGAGCAUGGGUGUCUUAGUCACUGUUCUACUGUUGUGAAGACACCAUGACCAAGGCAACUCUUAGAAAAUAAAUCAUUUAAUUGGGA
rnacentral:sRNA from 1 species